rnacentral:rRNA from 1 species
AGAUUAGCCMUGCAUGUCUAAGUAUAAGCAACUUGUACUGUGAAACUGCGAAUGGCUCAUUAAAUCAGUUAUCGUUUAUUUGAUAGUACCUUACUACAUGGAUACCUGUGGUAAUUCUAGAGCUAAUACAUGCUAAAAACCCCGACUUCAGGAAGGGGUGUAUUUAUUAGAUAAAAAACCAACGCCCUUCGGGGCUCCUUGGUGAAUCAUAAUAACUUAACGAAUCGCAUGGCCUUGCGCCGGCGAUGGUUCAUUCAAAUUUCUGCCCUAUCAACUUUCGAUGGUAGGAUAGUGGCCUACCAUGGUGGCAACGGGUAACGGGGAAUUAGGGUUCGAUUCCGGAGAGGGAGCCUGAGAAACGGCUACCACAUCCAAGGAAGGCAGCAGGCGCGCAAAUUACCCAAUCCCGAUACGGGGAGGUAGUGACAAUAAAUACUGAUACGGGGCUCUUUUGGGUCUCGUAAUUGGAAUGAGAACAAUUUAAAUCCCUUAACGAGGAACAAUUGGAGGGCAAGUCUGGUGCCAGCAGCCGCGGUAAUUCCAGCUCCAAUAGCGUAUAUUAAAGUUGUUGCAGUUAAAAAGCUCGUAGUUGAACCUUGGGCCUGGCUGGCCGGUCCGCCUCACCGCGAGUACUGGUCCGGCUGGGCCUUUCCUUCUGGGGAACCUCAUGGCCUUCACUGGCUGUGGGGGGAACCAGGACUUUUACUGUGAAAAAAUUAGAGUGUUCAAAGCAGGCCUUUGCUCGAAUACAUUAGCAUGGAAUAAUAGAAUAGGACGUGUGGUUCUAUUUUGUUGGUUUCUAGGACCGCCGUAAUGAUUAAUAGGGAUAGUCGGGGGCGUCAGUAUUCAGCUGUCARAGGUGAAAUUCUUGGAUUUGCUGAARACUAACUACUGCGAAAGCAUUCSCCAAGGGAUGUUUUCAUUAAUCAGGGAACGAAAGGUAGGGRAUCRAAGACRAUCARAWACCGUCKUARUCUUAACCAUAAACUAUGCCRACWAGGGAUYGGAMGGGAUUYYWWAAUGVCCCGKUCGSCACCUUWCRAGAAUYAAARUUUUUGGGUUYUGGGGGGAARUWUGGUCSCARRGBUGAAMCUUWAARAAAUUKVCGARRGSCACCMCAGGGC